AGAAUAUUAGCCUUGUUUCGCCAUCCUAGGCUUCAUCAUUAUAGCAGGCUCUAGGUAAUGCGAAUAAACUAUUAUCCUGUAAUAUUACAUAUGGUAUAUACAAUUAUUUAGGGUUUUUUAUAUUUAUUUUGCUGUAAAAAUGUGUGAGAUUACGAUAUUGUAUUUAUUCGCAUUACCUAGAGCCUGUUCUACUGAUGAAGCCUAGGAUGGCGAAACAAGGCUAAUAUUCC